GUGAGCUUGUUUUGCAUUUUCUUGAGAGGACUACAUGAUCAUCAGAUGUUAACUGCACCAAAGCCUCCGGAGAUAUAUUCUUAGAAGUUCUUAAAGCUGAUGAAUUUGACACAAGAAGCCUUAAAUUCUGGGUGAAGGACUCCCAGUGCGUGGGCAUGUUCGUGCGUACCAAAUAAAGGAUUGCGGAAGUCACUUUAUCUCGAAAAAGUUCACCAAUUAUUUCAAUAGCCAUAACUGUGUUUGAUUUAGAUAAUACUUCAUGUUUUUCUGUUCUGCCCCCAGCAAAACCAUCAUGAUUAUUCAAUCCCAUAUCUUGAGAUGUAAUAGGCCACCUAGACUUCUUUUCCACAGUCAGUUCCAGCAAUCCCU
rnacentral:misc_RNA from 1 species